rnacentral:SRP_RNA from 1 species
UCGUGCUAGACGGGGAGCCAGCGGUGCCCUGUACCCGAGAUCCGCUUUAGCGGGGUUGAUUUCCGAAUAGAGGUGUUGUUUUGCUGAUACUGUCUGAAUCGGGCGGUGUUGAAGGCUUGGUCUUGCGCGGCAGAUGGCUAUGAAUCCCGUCAGGUCCGGAAGGAAGCAGCGGUAAAUAGUGAUAUCUGGGUGCCGCAAGUAUACCUGGCUGGAGCUGCCUGGUAUAGGCGUGACAACUGGCAAUAUCGACAGGAGGUGCACGG